GGGUGCUUGCUGCAUGACGUGGCGAGGCAGGCAAUAGCGUCGGUCGGGCCGCCACG
rnacentral:ncRNA from 1 species